rnacentral:rRNA from 1 species
UGCCAGCCGCCGCGGUAAUACGGAGGGUGCAAGCGUUGUUCGGAUUCACUGGGUAUAAAGGGUGCGCAGGCGGCCUGAUAAGUCAGGGGUGAAAUAUGUCGGCUUAACCGGCAAACGGCCCCUGAAACUGCCAGGCUUGAGUCCGGGAGAGGAUGGUGGAAUUCCUGGUGUAGCGGUGAAAUGCGUAAAUAUCAGGAGGAACACCAAUGGCGAAGGCAGCCAUCUGGCCCGGUACUGACGCUCAGGCACGAAAGCUAGGGGAGCGAACAGGAUUAGAUA